UGGAACACUGCAUGCUGUUGGACAUGAAGAGCAAGUUUAUGUUGGUGACAAGCCUACAAAAAUACUCAGACUAGAAAUCAAAAUGCAUGGGGGCGAAACUAUCAAAGUCACUUUAUGGAGAAAUAUAGUUGCUGAUUUUCAAAACUUAUUUGUCCAUCACAAGCUACAUGAUGGUCCUAAGGUUGUUGCAAUAACAUCAACAACGGUUAAAAAAUUUAGAGAUGACUAUUCAAUCAACUCAACUUCAAC